rnacentral:tRNA from 1 species
GCGGGUGUAGUUUAGUGGUAAAGCCACAGCCUUCCAAGCUGUUGUCGCGAGUUCGAUUCUCGUCACCCGCU